GCGGGUGUGGCGAAACCGGCAGCCGCAGAGGUCUUAAAAACCUCGGCCUUCGGGCAUGCAGGUUCGAAUCCUGCCACCCGCACCA
rnacentral:tRNA from 1 species